rnacentral:rRNA from 1 species
CUACGGGUCGCUGCAGGUAGGAAUCUUUUACAAUGCACGAAAGUGUGAUAGAGUGAGCCAAAGUGUUUCUCAUUGAGAAACUUUUGCCAAAUGUAAAAAGUUUGGCGAAUAAGGACUGGGUAAGACGAGUGCCAGCCGCCGCGGUAAUACUCGCGGUCCAAGUCGCAGCCAUUUUUAUUGGGUCUAAAACAUCCGUAGCUUGUCUUGUAAGUUUUCUGUGAAAUUUUAUAUCUCAAAUAUAGAGCGUGCAGAAAAUACUGCAAGGCUAGAGACCGGAAGACGUAAGGAGUACAGCCAAAGUAGUAGUAAAAUGCUUUGAUCUUGGCUGGACUAACAAUAGCGAAGGCACCUUACGAGGACGGUUCUGACAGUAAGGGAUGAAGGCUAGGGGCGCAAAACGGAUUAGAUACCCCUGUAGUC